AACAGCAAUAAGGAAAAUACUAGGUUGUCAUAAUACUUCACAGAAGAAUUUAUUUUCCAUUGAUCUGAUGCUAUUUUGGGAUUUCUGCUUCACAACCUGAUCCUAGGCAAUCAGGAAACACAGCAUGAACUUGGAACAUCAUAUGAGUCCUGCCCAGCUCCCAUCAGCCCCAGCCAGCAUGGGACAUGGUCAGGAAUAAGACAUCUGGAGGACACCAGGUUGGGGAUGGCAAAGUGAACAAAAGGAGAUAGAAGUGGGGGUUUAUGAGGAAAGGCAACUCACAGAUCUCAAAUUAAGAUUAAUUCAAUACCCAGUUCUGUUAUUGUUUCUGUUUUCUCAGAACCAUGGAACAGGCUGCCAUCAGAUUUAGACCCAUGGAAAAUUUUAUUGUAUAUUGUAUAUAUUCUUUUAUUGUAUAUAUUGUAUAUAUUUUUAUUGUAUAUUGUAUAUAUUUAUGUAGGCCCUGAAAGUGUGUUCAUGGUGCUCACACAUUACUGCUGAAAUAUUACACUGCAACAAAGGAUUUGUAGUCUUUAACAUUGAAGUUAACAUUCUGAAUUGAAGUAGGUCUGAGUUUGAAAGGUUCUGCAAAAGUAUUUGCUGUGGAAGUGAUACAAGAAAAUAUUGUGAGAAUAUAAAUAACCUGAGUACAGAGAAUGACAUGAUUUGUC